AUUGAACGCUGGCGGCAGGCUUUACACAUGCAAGUCGAGCGAGUGGCGGACGGGUGAGUAAUGUAUUGGAACCUGCCCGGUAAAGGGGGAUAACCAAUGGAAACGGUGGCUAAUACCGCAUACUAUCCGAUGAACCCAUAUCGUAUUAGCUAGUAGGUGGGGUAAAGGCUUACCUAGGCGACGAUCUCUUGCGGGUCUGAGAGGAUGAUCCGCCACACUGGGACUGAGACACGGCCCAGACGCCUACGGGAGGCAGCAGUGGGGAAUAUUGCACAAUGGGCGCAAGCCUGAUGCAGCCAUGCCGCGUGUAUGAAGAAGGCCUUAGGGUUGUAAAGUACUUUCAUCAGGGAGGCGGUACCUGAAGAAGAAGCACCGGCUAACUCCGUGCCAGCAGCCGCGGUAAUUG
rnacentral:rRNA from 1 species